AACGUAGGACACAAGCGUUAUCCGGAGUUACUGGGCGUAAAGGGCGUGUAGGCGGACCUAUAAGUCUAUUCUGAAAGCUCCUGGCUAAACUGGGAGAGGCGAAUGGAGACUGUAGAUCUAGAGUGAGGAAGAGGAAAGUGGAAUUCCGCGUGUAGCGGUGAAAUGCGUAGAUAUCGAGAGGAACACCUGCGGCGAAGGCGGGUUGCUGGGCUGAUACUGACGCUGAGGCGCGAAAGCCAGGGGAGCGAACGGG
rnacentral:rRNA from 1 species